rnacentral:rRNA from 1 species
UACGUAGGGGGCGAGCGUUGUCCGGAUUUAUUGGGCGUAAAGAGCGUGUAGGCGGCCAGGUAGGUCUGCUGUGAAAACUCGAGGCUCAACCUCGAGACGUCGGCGGAAACCAUCUGGCUAGAGUCCGGAAGAGGAGAGUGGAAUUCCUGGUGUAGCGGUGAAAUGCGUAGAUAUCCGGAGGAACACCGGUGGCGAAGGCGGCUUCCUGGACCGACACUGACGCUGAGGCGCGAAAGCUAGGGGAGCAAACGGG